AACUUUUAACAACGGAUCUCUUGGUUCUGGCAUCGAUGAAGAACGCAGCGAAAUGCGAUAAGUAAUGUGAAUUGCAGAAUUCAGUGAAUCAUCGAAUCUUUGAACGCACAUUGCGCCCGCCAGCAUUCUGGCGGGCAUGCCUGUCCGAGCGUCAUUU
rnacentral:rRNA from 1 species